AUUGAACGCUGGCGGCAUGCCUUACACAUGCAAGUCGAACGGCAGCACGGGAGCAAUCCUGGUGGCGAGUGGCGAACGGGUGAGUAAUACAUCGGAACGUGUCCAGUAGUGGGGGAUAGC
rnacentral:rRNA from 1 species